rnacentral:rRNA from 1 species
UACGUAGGGGGCAAGCGUUGUCCGGAAUUAUUGGGCGUAAAGCGCGCGCAGGCGGUCCUUUAAGUCUGAUGUGAAAGCCCACGGCUCAACCGUGGAGGGGCAUUGGAAACUGGGGGACUUGAGUACAGAAGAGAAGAGUGGAAUUCCACGUGUAGCGGUGAAAUGCGUAGAGAUGUGGAGGAACACCAGUGGCGAAGGCGACUCUUUGGUCUGUAACUGACGCUGAGGCGCGAAAGCGUGGGGAGCAAACAGG